rnacentral:rRNA from 1 species
UACCAGCACCCCGAGUGGUCGGGACGAUUAUUGGGCCUAAAGCAUCCGUAGCCGGCCUUACAAGUCCUCCGUUAAAUCCAGCUGCUUAACAGAUGGGCUGCGGAGGAUACUAUAAGACUAGGAGGCAGGAGAGGCAAGCGGUACUCAGUGGGUAGGGGUAAAAUCCGUUGAUCCAUUGAAGACCACCAGUGGCGAAGGCGGCUUGCCAGAAUGCGCUAGACGGUGAGGGAUGAAAGCUGGGGGAGCAAACCGG